rfam:Mus musculus chromosome 13, GRC primary reference assembly.
CAAAAGGCCCUUUUCAGGGCCACCCACAAAUUCCUAGGAGUUGUU